CUAAGUGUUUCCCUCCCUUCUUCCCUAACAGAGCUGGCAAGCAGUUUGAUCUCAGUUAUAUAUGUUUCAUCUCAUUUUGUAAGCAGCCACAACUGCAAGUGAACAGAGCACUCUGAUGUGCCAAUAGAUGAAAAUGAAGAUGUCAAAGGAGAAAAAUUUGAUGAAGCAUUUGCAAACUAACAACAUGGAAGCUAUUGGAAUCUACCCUGAAAUUUGAUGUCCUCAGGGCAAAGGUUAAUUUUUUCUGGUUCAUCUGGGUGAGAUACUAAAGGGCACAGACAUCAAGAGACUCCAUGGAUCAAGUAUACGUAUUAGCAAACCCCACCCACCUUGGUUCAUCCCAUCCACUCCACCUUCCUAUGCCAAAGACAUGAUACAGAGGUUGGGAAUGGGAAUCAAGAGAGAGGAGAGCUUAUUUACAGUUUCAAUCGAUGAUCAGCCUGAGAUCUAGAGAAGCAAACCUCCUACUGCCUUAGCC
rnacentral:lncRNA from 1 species